rnacentral:rRNA from 1 species
UACGUAGGGUGCAAGCGUUGUCCGGAAUUAUUGGGCGUAAAGAGCUCGUAGGCGGUUUGUCGCGUCUGCUGUGAAAACUCGGGGCUUAACUCCGGGCCUGCAGUGGGUACGGGCAGACUAGAGUGCGGUAGGGGAGACUGGAAUUCCUGGUGUAGCGGUGAAAUGCGCAGAUAUCAGGAGGAACACCUAUUGCGAAGGCAGCUCGCUGGGACGUAACUGACGCUGAGACGCGAAAGCGUGGGGAGCAAGCAGG